rnacentral:rRNA from 1 species
UACGUAGGUGGCGAGCGUUGUCCGGAUUUAUUGGGUUUAAAGGGUGCGUAGGCGGUCUUAUAAGUCAGUGGUGAAAUAUCGCAGCUCAACUGUGAGGGUGCCAUUGAUACUGUAGGACUUGAGUGAAUUUGAGGUAGGCGGAAUUGACGGUGUAGCGGUGAAAUGCUUAGAUAUCGUCAAGAACACCGAUAGUGAAGACAGCUUACCAAGCUUCAACUGACGCUGAGGCACGAAAGUGUGGGGAUCAAACAGG